AGCAUAAUCUCGGGAAACUGAGAAUAAUACUCCAUAGAUCUAAGAUGCUGGAAUACACUUAGGUUCAAAGCUCCGGCAGGAUGGGUCUGCGGACUAUCAGGUUGUAGUCAGGGUAAGGACCUGACUAGCCUACAACGGAUACGGGUUGUGAGAGCAAUAACCCGGAAUAUCUGAGACACGAUAUCGGGCCCUACGGGGGCGCAGCAGGCGCGAAACCUUCACAAUGUGCGAAAGUGCGAUGAGGGGAUCCCAAGUGCUUGCACUUAAGUGUAAGCUGUUUCUCUGUUUAAAAUGCAGAGAGAGGAAGGGCUGGGUAAGACGGGUGCCAGCCGCCGCGGUAAUACCUGCAGCUCAAGUGGUGACCGCUAUUAUUGGGCCUAAAACGUUCGUAGCCGGCUGAGUAAAUGCUUGGGUGUGCCGCUUAACGGUACGAAUUCCGGGUAGACUGCUCAGCUUGAGACCGGGAGAAGCUAGAGGUACUCCUGGGGUAGAGGUGAAAUUCUGUAAUCCUGGGGGGGACCACCAGUGGCGAAGGCGUCUAGCUAGAACGGGUCUGACGGUGAGGGACGAAACCCUGGGGCGCAAACCGGAUUUACCCGGGUAGUCCAGGGCGCAAACGCUGCUUGCUUGAUGUUAGCUGGGCUCCGAGCUCAGCUAGUGUCGGAGAGAAGUUGUUAAGCAAGCUGCCUGGGAAGUACGAUCGCAAGAUUGAAACUUAA
rnacentral:rRNA from 1 species